rnacentral:rRNA from 1 species
AUCUUGCGCAAUGGGGGAAACUCUGACGCAGCGACGCCGCGUGAGUGAUGAAGGACUUAGGGUUGUAAAACUCUGUCCUCAGGGAAGAAAACACUGACGGUACCGGAGGCGGCAGACCCGGCUCACUACGUUCCAGCAGCCGGGGUAAUACGUAGGGGGCGAGGGUUGUCCGGAAUUAUUGGGCGUAAAGGGUGCGUAGGCGGCCUUUUAAGUCAGGUGUGAAAGACCACAGCUUAACUGUGGGGUUGCAUUUGAAACUAGAAGGCUUGAGUAUCGGAGAGGGUAGUGGAAUUCCUGGUGUAGCGGUGAAAUGCGUAGAUAUCAGGAGGAACACCAGUGGCGAAGGCGACUACCUGGACGAAAACUGACGCUGAGGCACGAAAGCUAGGGUAGCAAAC